rnacentral:lncRNA from 1 species
GGGAACUAGGGAAUCACUGUCCGUUCACUCCAUUGACACUUCCUUGCUCCGUCGCCAGCAAGGUGUCGGGUCGGAUGUGGUGACUUCCUGGUGCUUGUUUUUGGAGCGAUGCGAUGCGAGAUGAGGGGGGCGCUGUUGUUUUUUUGCAGUGGCGUUGUUUUUUUUUGCGAGCGCUAUUUUUUUCAACAGCCGGCAUAGGACCAGGUGGGUGGGAUAGGGUUGGGAGGGGUGGGGAAUGGGAGAUAAGAUUAUAUACCGAGGGUUUAACUUAUGGGCUAGUGGGCUUCUUUACUUUUGGGCGGGGUAUUUUUCACCCAUAGAUUAAUGGGUAUGGGGACUGCUGGAACAUACCCAUACCUGCGUACCCAAUGGGUGAAGGGUUUGGUCCAUUUACGUACCCGUGGGUAGUAUGUUUAGUCCAUAUUCAGACCCUAAUGGAAUAAAUACCCAUCGGGUAUCGGGUCGUGAGUCUCCAUUGCCAUCUUUACUCACGUAGGUCGAGAAAACCCUUGAUUGUGUGCGGAUGCAGAGUAGGAUAUGGUUUUAAUUACGAAUCCAUAUUUUUUUACACCCUUGCUCUAUACUGUUAAGUACGAAAUGAGAACCCGUAGGAAUUUUUAUCAGAUGUCAAGCGUGGAGUGUUAGUGUUAAUUUAAGUAACCAAUUUGCUUCUAAACAGUUAAUAUCAAGCAAGUAAAGUAAUCUAAAUCUACAAUAUAUAAUGAGCACAUUUUAAUAUUUACAAAAAAUAAAUAAGGAUGAUUUUUUGAGUAAAGAAACCACCCAGGCGGGCUUAUAUCACUAUUCCAGCGCCCGACGAGCUUCCAACAGUAAAGGCGCGGGCCCUAAAAAUUUUUGCUGGAUGAAAGUACCGUUAUGCCCCCAACCACCAUGCCUCCCGCAAAGCAAAUAAUGAGGAGGUUUUGGUCAAAUUGAACCACCAUAUAUAAUAGAGCCUUAGUCUCCUAGCCAACGCCACCCCAAUUCCAUGUACAAAUCCCCCCAAACCCACUGCUCCGCCAUUCCUGCCGCCGCAACGCCAUCCCACCGCCCACCACAUUAGCUGCACAAUCGUCACCCAAACAUUCCCCUUCAUCUGCGACUGAAUCCUCUCUGGCUAUGUCGCCAUGGAAGAGGGGGGAAACAACCAACGAAGAAGUGACGAAUGAGAAACCAGCCUGUAGGUGAAGUGUCUCUCCUCCUUCCUGUAUUUUGGGUCAUGCCUGUAUGCCUAGAUUAGGUCCCUCUUAUUUUUCUUUGUUGGUCAUGUUUACAAUUGGAGGGGUCGUCCUACCCAUGUUUCUGUCAAUGCAGAUGCUCCGCUUACUGUCUAUGAACU